UUUUGGUGUCGAAAAGUUUCA
ensembl:piRNA 21ur-4792 ncRNA